AUGUACAUGCCUACAAAAUAGUUUUAAUGCACCAGAUCCCAUUAGAACUCCCCAAUUAAGCACACUCGGGCUAGAGUAGUACUGGGAUGGGUGACUUCCCGAGAAGUCCUAGUAUUCUACAUU
rnacentral:rRNA from 1 species